ensembl:lncRNA
AUGUUUUCUCUACUAAAUUUGUUUUACCAGGGACUGUGUGCCAUUGGUUCCUUUUUUGAGACGCUCCGAACAUAUUGGGCCAUGUUUAAGCUAGCCACUUUUUCUUAUGGAGCUAUACAAUUGUAUAAUGGAUUGAAAGCAUGGUUAGCAAUGCUCACUUCGUAUCUGUAUACAGCUCCAGAGGGAGCAACUAAUGCAACUAAUUAUACAGAAAUGGUGAUUUUUAAGCGUGCUCCUCUUUCUUUCUAUGAAUCCUUUAUGCAGUUCUUGAAUGAUCAGUGGGCCACACUCUUAAUCUCCCUGAUCUUACUGUUGAUUAUUGUAAUAAUCUCACUCAGUAUCUGGAUUUAUAACAUCCGGAGGAAGUCUUCCCUAGAACCAGAGAAUACUGAGUGGCAGGGAAUUGAAGAGAUUCUCAAAGGACAGACAUCUUCAGUGUUAUGGAGCUUCACUCCUGAACACUUGAAGAAUCCUGAGAGUUUGAUUGCAUAUUUGAGGCAGGAAUGUUGUGGCUCAGGCAGAUCUCAGGAGGCACAAAUGAUUUUGGGCCUAGCUAAUGCUUAUUGGGCCUUAGUCAAUACCAUUCCUGAGAGAGAGAGUCUUAGAGCUGAGGCAGAAAAACUUUGGACUGAGAAGGUAGAGAGAGAAAAUGCAGAAGGAGUUAGAAGAGCGGAGGGAGUUAGGAGAGCAGGACUCAGGAGAGCAGGGGGACUCAGGAGAGCAGGGGGACUCAGGAGGUCAGGGGGACUCAGGAGAGCAGGAGGAGUCAGAAGACCAGAGGAAGUCGCGCGGGGCAGUGGUUGUAGAGGCAGUAUAAGAAGAUGUUCGAGGAGGAGAAGAAGUCAGAGGAGCAGAGGAAGUUAGGAGAGAGAAAGUUAGGAGAGAGGAAAAAGGAGGAAGGUCGCCUGGAGGAAAUAACACAAGCGUCAGAGUCAGGGUCAGAGUCAGACGAGGAGCCAAAAGCUAGAUUUUUCUACGAGAAUUUCUCGAGUCCAAACUUAUAGAUGGGGCAGCCUCAUCAACACAGCUGCCAACAUUAACACCUGGGACUCCUGAUAGAGCAAAAGGUGAGCAAAGUAUUACGACCAUUAUUGAUCGAUCUUUUAAACUGAGUGAAAUUCGAGAUCUGAGAAAGGAUUUCACACGUCAGCCAAAAGAAAAUAUGGUCACUUGGUUACUUCGCUGCUGGGACAAUGGUGCCAACAGUGCGUGGCUCGAUGGCAGUGAAGCUCGCCAACUGGGUAGCAUUUCCAGGGACUCACGUGUGGACAGAGGUAUAGGCACAUGCCAAAAUCGGUCCUACACCCUCUGGAAGCGGAUGUUGAUAGCGGUAAGAGAUAGAUUCCCUUUAAACGGGACUUGGAGCCUGAGAAAAAGAAAUGGACUGAUAUGGAGAAAGGUAUCCAAUUUUUGAGAGAAAGGGCUCUGGUGAAAUGCUCUACAGCCCCCAGUUCAAUCGUAAACAAUCCAAACCAAUUACAUGAUCCUGAAGCAGUCCACGUUCCACGACAAAGUGGCGUACUUUACAAAGGCAGCUCCAGAAAAGCAUGCCAGUGCACUUGCAUUGGUAUAUGGCAAAGGGAAGAAAGCCCCUGUAAAUGAGCUAAUUAGCAGAACUUCAGGAGCUUGAAUUAUUUAUAAGCGCUACAGAAGUUAAGCUUUAUACUUCAGCCAUUGUCCAAAUGGGAAAAAAAUAGUGGAAAGGUUAGACAAAUGUGGAGGAAACACAAAGUGAUAUUAUUGACAAAUUGGCUAAUGUGCCUGAUGUAGAUGAAUCCACGGUGGUACAAGAUGAUGGAAACCAGGAUUUUCCACAAUCGCCUAUUGAGGAAGCUAAACAACAUGAGUUCCUCUCGACCUGUAU